UCCCUCAUGGUCUAGUGGCAGGACGCCAGAGUUUGGUUCUGGUAGCUCAGGUUCGAAUCCUGGUGGGGGAGCC
rnacentral:tRNA from 1 species